ACUCCCGUAGCUCAGUUGGUUAGAGCAUUGUGCUUAUAACGCAAGGGUCGUGGGUUCGAAUCCCACCGGGAGUA